GCUUUUCUCCCCCGGCCGCCGGCCCCGCGCAGCUCUCCCUGUGCCCGCGGCUCCCACUCCCCGGGCAGCGCGGAGCAGCGCGGGGCCGCCAGGGCUGCGCGCACCCGGGGCGAAGAGCGCGGCUCCCGCCGCCGCCGCGGGCGCGCAGAGGGGCUGUGGGCGCGCAGCCCCCGGCCCGGCUCCGCGCGGCGCUGCCCGAACCCCGCGGCGGCGGUACGCGGAAGAAGGGAGAGGAAGGACCUACUUUUGGGCAGUUUUCUCGCCCUCGCCUUGGAUCUCAUCGUGUCGGCUUGCGGAUUCCUCUCCUCCUCCUUGAGCCCAGAAGCAGCUACACACUAUCUUCAUCUCCCAAGCAUUGUCAGUUUGGACACCUUCGCACAUGCGCACAGAGCAUUCAAUCUGACACCCUCACCAGGGCCAAAAAAACUUUCCAAUCGCAGCCUUCCCCCGAUCUGCCCCUUUAAGACAGACGCGCAGCGCUCCGACCCCUCCGCGCAGUGCCCCUCGGAGCGGACAGUGCCCGCGGACCCGGGUGCCAUCCCCGAACGAGGUGAUUAUCGCUGUUAUUACUGCUAUUCUUACUAUUACUUAAUAGCAAUGCCGUCGAGAGUUUGUUCCCGGGUGUCUCUUUGGAAUUCGUGCGCGUUUUAAACGCGCUUUUCUUUCUAAUCCGAAAAAAAAAAAAUAGCUUUAUAUAAUAACGAUUAUUUACAGCAACUUCUCAACGAGUUUCUUUCUUUUCUCCCUUUUUACCCUUUUCCUCCUCUUGCCCCCUUCGGCGCGGGGGGGUCCCUGACUCCUAACAACACCAACUUACGCUCCGUGCCGCACCGGCGCGUCUCCCUUUUGUACGGGGAUAUUUAUUUUAACUCCCGGCGACUCAGAGCUCAGCGGUAAAGCUCUUCCUACCCCAAUUUAUUCACCCGUUUGGACGCGUUUUGACCGGAAAUAUAUAUAUAUAUAUAUAUAUAAAAUAAAACGAAGCGAACCCCGCGGUGCGGCUGCCUGUGCCCCGGGGUCGCCCGGGCCCAACCGAGCCGGGCUGGGCCGAACCGGGCCGGGCCGCCCGGGGACAGCGGGUGCCGGUGCCGCUUUCUUCUGCGUUCCAGGUGCCGCUGGGAGCGCUCCCGAGGGAACGGCCGCUGCCUCGCCGGAGGAAGCCGAGAGACCCACGGACAGCCGAGAACAGGGGGAAUGACCGGGAAGCACGAGGACAGAAAAACGCGUUCUGUGCAUCAGCCGCGCUGCUUUGCGCUCUCACACCCUCUCUAUUUAUCUGCACGCAAAAGCCGCGCAGCGCAGCGCUCUCCUGCCCCACUGACACCUCUCCCUGCACCGAAACACGCUCAACAGACGUUGCCCUUCUUAUUUCUAGCACGAAGCUCCGGUUCUCCCAGCCCUGAGAACACCCGGUAUAAAUCGCCCCUUUCGGAUUUUCCCCCCAAACCGUUCCCAGUCCCAGGAAUUCCUCCGAAUUCGUUACGCUGCGCGAGGCCGCGCUUUGCAGGGCCGGGAAAGGUAACGUCGCCCGUCCGACAACAACGAGUUUCGAAAAGAAAAGCGACGUUCACGUGUGAAUAUCGAACUUCAACCGUAUUGUCAUUACCGCCGUAAAAGAAACGCAGCAGCUCGCUUUAUUCCAGGAGAGCGCGGCCAUUAAAGAGAACUUAAGGAGUC